rnacentral:rRNA from 1 species
UACGUAGGGUGCGAGCGUUGUCCGGAAUUAUUGGGCGUAAAGGGCUCGUAGGCGGUCCGUUACGUCGGGAGUGAAAACUCGGGGCUCAACCCCGAGCCUGCUUCCGAUACGGGCGGACUAGAGGUAUGCAGGGGAGAACGGAAUUCCUGGUGUAGCGGUGAAAUGCGCAGAUAUCAGGAGGAACACCGGUGGCGAAGGCGGUUCUCUGGGCAUUACCUGACGCUGAGGAGCGAAAGUGUGGGGAGCGAACAGG